rnacentral:lncRNA from 1 species
GGGGGGGCAUAAAAUCUACAGUUUUAUGACUAAUAUCGAAAUUGUUUGGGUGGUAGAAAUAGAUCGAAACCUAAAGCAAAAGAACAGAUAACAUGACUAAAAUAGCUGAAGGUCUUUGGUCAGGCAAAGUCAGCACCAAAACCUAAUCUUCGGUUUUUCUCUUGACAUGGUAUUAUCAACUUCUAUGACUAUACUAUCAUUUAACAUUUCUAUAGCUAAUAUAAUUAAUAGCUUUGAUUAUGAUGCAAAUAAGCAAUUAGUUAGAUCUUUCUUCUAUGAUGAACGUACUUGUACUUCCUUAUACUGUAGUCUGUAGAUAUUCUUUCCACGUAGAAAGGGAAACCAACCAAACAAAAAAAAAGAAAAUUCUAAUACGGAUGAAGUUCAUGUCCUAUCAUCACUCGUUAUCUUCAUUAAUUUUUGCUUGUUCAUUUUGGUUUCUUUUUUUUUUGUGACUUGGGACAUUUUGUUCAUUUUAUUUUCUUCCUGCUUUGGUUUUUUUUUUACGAGAAAGAUUUUGUUUCUUCUUUUUUUAAAAGUUGUAGUUUAUGACCUGUAACAUAUAUAGUAUAACUAUAUUUCUUGUACAAAAGUUAACUGCGAAACUCUGGUUCAAUAGCUGAUCCAACAUACAUUUUCCACAGAAAAUUGUUGAUGUCUGUAACAUGCUUAUUUUAAGAUGGAUUUGCUUGUUAAUUUACUCGGUAAGAAAAGUCGAGCCGCUUUAUUUUCCAAUAUCGCUUUAACGAGUAGUAGUAGUUAAAGAAGUAGGGUAAGAUUGUUGGCCACUUGAGUCGUUUAUGACACAGAAUUUGCACUUAUUAUAUAUCCUUUUUGAUAAUAACAUUAUAAAACCAAUGAUGAAUUUGACCAAAAGUAAUUGGAUCUUUCUUUUUCAUUUAUUAAUUCUAUAAAGCAAUUAUCAGGGAAAGAUAAGCUUUUUUAAGACGGUGCAAAAUGUCUCUUC